GGCGGCAUGGCCGAGUGGUAAGGCGGGGGACUGCCAAUCCUUUUU
rnacentral:tRNA from 2 species